rnacentral:rRNA from 1 species
GACGAACGCUGGCGGCGUGCCUAAUACAUGCAAGUAGGACGCAGUUGCGAACGGGUGAGUAACGCGUAGGUAACUACCUAUUAGAGGGGGAUAACUAUUGGAAACGAUAGCUAAUACCGCAUACUAGUAGAUGGAUCUGCGUUGUAUUAGCUAGUAGGUAGGGUAAUGGCCUACCUAGGAAACGGUACAUAGCCGACCUGGGAAGGUGAGCGGCAACACUGGGACUGGGACAAGGCCCAGACUCCUACGGGAGGCAGCAAGAGGGAAACUUCGGCAAUUGGGGGAAACCUGACCGAGCAACGCCGCGUGAGUGAAGAAGGUUUUCGGAUCGGAAAGCUCUGUUGUUAAGGAAGCGGUACUUAACCAGAAAGGGACGGCUAACUACGUGCCAGCAGCCGCGGUAAUUC